rnacentral:lncRNA from 1 species
UAUUUCCGGCACGGGUUUACAGAUUGAGAUGCAAGAGGGAACUUCAUCUCUUUUUCAAUCUGAUAAGCUAUGUCUAUAAUUUUUGAAGUGAGAUGCGUUGUAAGCUCUGUCUCUCUAGAAAAUACUAGUUUAUUGCGAUCCUUCCAAAGAGACCAAACCGAAACACCAAAAAAGGUAGGCCAAUCCGUGUUGCUAGCUCCAAUAUGUUUAGUAGUGAUGUUCCAUUCCAGCCAACCGUACAAGCCAAGACUGAAAAACUUGGCCCAAUUAUCUUCCGUG